CAUACAUUCAUUCAGGAUUAUGAAGAUCACACAAUUCUCUAUCUGUUUCUCAUUAUCUUCACUUCAUCACAUCUUAUCCAUCUCUCUCCCUUAAAUGAAGGCGUUAUUACUCUUGGGUGGUGGUGCUGUGAGAAAUGAUGAUGAAGACGAAGACGAAGAAGUCCAACAGUGGAUGCUUUGUCUUUUGAGGGGAAUGAGUGUUUGGCUCGAGGCCACCAGCUUAACUAGAUCAUCAGAUCUAUUCACUUAUGGUGAUGAUCGGAGGGUGUUUUAGGAUCUUAAGUUGGUGUCGCCGGACCAGGCUUCAUUCCCCCCAAUUACAACCAUCCUAGGCUUCAAUCAACACAGAACACAUCAGAUCUCAGGUUUGUUGGUGGGUUUUCUUGAUUUUAUCAGUGAUUUCAAUUUUUUAUUCUAUUUUAAGAAAGUUUGAGUUUGUUUUCUAGAGCAGAUUGGUGUCAUGAUGAAAUUUUUUGACUACUUCUCUACCUAGAUUCUCUCCAUCUCUUUCUCUCUCUCAUCUCUGACUGAGUGAAAUGAGUGAGUGAGAAAGAUUUUUCAUCAUCUGAAUCUGUUUUCUUUGUUUUCUAACUAGUAAUCUUAUUAGUAUGUUUGUUAAAAUCAUCAUCAUCAUCUUAUUAAUUAUGAUGUUUCUUUCUUGUCAGUGUUAAUCACCUCAUUCAUCUCUGCUAAUUAUAUAUAUUAAUUUAGAUUCUUAAAUUAAACCAUUUUGGUUUUUGGGAACAGCAUCACAUUCACGAGUUAUUUUCUUAAACAUGCUGAGCGCACAUGGGUUCUAUAUUCAAGUAGUACUUGUUUCAUGUUUGUUUACUGUUUUUCUGUUAUAGCUAGUAGUGUAACAGCUUAGACUUGCACACAAUAAGCUUAAUAAAAUCAGAGAGAUCUUGAUUUAGUUCACAUUACUAAUCUUUUCUGUAGAAGAAAGAUAUUCAUUUAUGUAUUGGAGGAGGAGUGUACACAUAUAUUUCUUACUCUGUGCAUGUGAAGUUACUCGCAAUAUAUAGAGUAUUUUUACUUCAGAAAUGGGCAUUCUAGUUAAAAAUUGUGGUUGCUUUUCUUUCAUCAACACCUUUUGAUUGUUGAAGGAUAUACUUGUAGUAGUACAUGUAACCAAGAGAAGAAAGUAAGAGAAUCUCUCAAGUAUAUACAGGCAGGAGUGAGGGACUGACUGACAUGCAUAUGAUAAGAUGGUGGUGCUGCUGGUUUUGUUGGUGGUUGGUUUUACCUAUUAAGUCCAAGACGGCAAACAAACCGGAAGAGAGAAGAGAAAUAGGUGGAGGAGCGAAGCCAUAGAUAUAUUAUUGGGCACUGCAACUUCUUGUUUGUAUGCAGCGUGGGUGGACUCGGUUGCCUUGGGAACAAGGGGAAGAGGAGGAGAAUCAAGUGUCACUUUCGUAAUUUAAUGCUGAAAUUUAAGAGCAUUCAGUAAAUUUCAUUUAUUGGAAAAGGAGACAGAAAAAAACCUGUGUAACUUUUUAUUUACAAACUUUUACUACUGCUAGGAUCCGUGCUGCAAUGAUAACCCAAUUAUGAGUCUGCUUCAUUUAAAUUUUACUGUCUACUGCUACUGUCUAUUCUGCUAGCUAGCAGUAUAACAUGUGAAUUCAUUCCCACAUACCUAAAACCCUGCACAACCCCUCUAUCACAUUGAAUGAAUUAAAAGCAGGAGAGACGAUAAUGUAAUGUUCACCCACCAUGGUGAAUUCAACAAUUAAAACUUGAACAGUUAGUUGAUCAA